rnacentral:rRNA from 1 species
GACCGAGCAACGCCGCGUGAGUGAAGAAGGUUUUCGGAUCGUAAAACUCUGUUGUUAGAGAAGAACAAGGAUGAGAGUAAAAUGUUCAUCCCUUGACGGUAUCUAACCAGAAAGCCACGGCUAACUACGUGCCAGCAGCCGCGGUAAUACGUAGGUGGCAAGCGUUGUCCGGAUUUAUUGGGCGUAAAGCGAGCGCAGGCGGUUUCUUAAGUCUGAUGUGAAAGCCCCCGGCUCAACCGGGGAGGGUCAUUGGAAACUGGGAGACUUGAGUGCAGAAGAGGAGAGUGGAAUUCCAUGUGUAGCGGUGAAAUGCGUAGAUAUAUGGAGGAACACCAGUGGCGAAGGCGGCUCUCUGGUCUGUAACUGACGCUGAGGCUCGAAAGCGUGGGGAGCGAACAGGAUUAGAUACCCUGGUAGUCCACGCCGUAAACGAUGAGUGCUAAGUGUUGGAGGGUUUCCGCCCUUCAGUGCUGCAGCAAACGCAUUAAGCACUCCGCCUGGGGAGUACGACCGCAAGGUUGAAACUCAAAGGAAUUGACGGGGGCCCGCACAAGCGGUGGAGCAUGUGGUUUAAUUCGAAGCAACGCGAAGAACCUUACCAGGUCUUGACAUCCUUUGACCACUCUAGAGAU